rnacentral:misc_RNA from 1 species
UUUCCGUAGGUGAACCUGCGGAAGGAUCAUUACCGAGUGUCGGGGCUCAGGCCCCGCCCUCCCAUCCCGUGGCGUUAAAAAGUUAUGUUGCCUCCGGCUCCUUGCCGGGUGGCAGUCUCAGACUAGGUUUAGACUUUGUUUCUGACAGUAUUGAGAAAUCAAAUGAAAACUUUCAACAACGGAUCUCUUGGUUCCGGCAUCGAUGAAGAACGCAGC